rnacentral:misc_RNA from 1 species
UUCUAUUUAUAUACAUAUAUACGGUUAUCUAUGAUGCAUUUGUAUUUACUACCAUAUUCCAUCAUUCCACGUAAUGUCGCUAGUUGCAGUAUACUGCAGAGUAGUAGGGCGGUGCCAUAUUAACACAAAUUUACUAUGUUACUAACCUUUUUCUUUCUUUCUAUCAGUAUAAUUUUCUAAGUUUUCAUAACUUAAAUUACUUUUGAUUGAAGUUGAAAUUAUUAAAUAAUUGUGUAUCGAAGAAAUAUUCUAUAAAUUAUAUUUAUUUAUUUAUUGCACUUAUUAAAAUAUCAAUAUGUGUGACGAGGAUGUAAUACGCAGAAGAUUGCUAAUAGAUGGAGAUGGUACAGGGGAUGAUCGUCGAAUAAAUAUGCUUUUAAAAUCAUUUAUUAAAUGGAUAAACAGUCCUGACGUUGACAACACGUUGCACGAAAGAAUGCUCUCGCAACUCGCCCAAUGCGAAUUCGCGCAAAGAAAAUCUAGACUGGUAUCAAACAUGAGCCAAGAAGAAUUGAAAAGUUAUAGUAAUUUAUCGAACGAUAUAGAAGUCCAAAUAGAAGAAGCCAAAAAGGAAAUAGAAAAGACAAAAAUAGAAUUAAAUGAAGCUAAACGCGUAAGAAAAAAUAGAAUAGAGUACGAUGUAUUAGCGAAAGUUAUUAAUGAGCAACCAGACAGACUGGAAACCAACGAGAAACUAGCCGCGCUGCGUCAAGAAUUAGGAAGUCUGAAGGAGAAAUCUGAACAAUUGGAGCAUAAAUUAGAAAUGCGAAGAAAACAGUUUCACGUUCUUAUAUCUUCUAUACAUUCUUUGCAAGAAAUGUUAGACGAAUGUGAAGAAGAAAUAAUGGAUAUUAGUUUAGAAAAUUAUGAAGAUACAGAUACAACUUCCAUGGGCCUUUCUUUUAGGUACAUGCCUGAUAGUUAAAGACACUCUUGUACUUCUUUCGAUUAUCUGCCCUUCGUUAUAUUCUGCCGCACACAUAUCCAAAUUUUUAAUUAUAUUUUUUGAGAUAGUAUCCGAAUAAGUUUGUUCAAUAGCAUGUAAAUAAUCAUGAUACAAUUCUCCACUCAAUAUUAACAAACUUCUACGUUCUAAUAACAAACUAAACUUCAGUUUAAUUUGUUGCGGCUAAAAAAGAACAACUAUGUAAAUCUAGAAGAGUAUGAGUUCCGCAACUAAUAGUAGUUACCAUUGGAUAAAAAAGUGGACCAUCUGAAUGUGCCUAUUAAAAAUCCAAAUUUCUAAAAGAUCAUUUAUAAAUAUUCGUCGAAGAAAGAAUAAUAUCUAAUUGAUUAUAUAUACACUCGCAAGUGCUUACUAUAAUUGUUACAUACCAUUAUUCCUUGACCAGGCAAAUACUCAUUAAUUAAUACAUGAUUAGGUGCCUUAUCUUUUUCAAAAACAUUUAAAGAAGUUAUUUUAUCCAUGUAAAUUCGAAGCCACUGUGUGUUGGAAGUUUAUUACUUAUUACAGUAAUUUUUUAAUGUUCUAUAACAUUACUUACACUUGGUAUUUCUUCGGCUAUCAUUCCUUUGGGAUGAGGUAUACCACCCCAAUUUUGUAAUCUUCUAUUACUCAAUUGAGUCCAUUUUGGAAGAGGAACAGUAUCAACAUGUUUCAUUAUUUGUCUUUCUUCCUCUUCGGUUAUAAAAUUUGGUAUAUAUCGUGCCAUAUCUGGAAUCUAGAUUUUACAAACUAUCAAUAUAACCUUGUUUUCCCGUCUAUAAGAAAUAAUAAUUAAAACGAACCUCUUUAACCACAUUAUCGACGAAAACACGAUCUUGCGUACUCAUUUUUCAAAAAAUAAUAAAGGAGAAAUUUAUUUAAAAUAAAAACAAUCGAGUUUAAAAUAAACUAAUCGAUAUUUGCUUUGUAGGUUACACUAAUAUCGAAAUAGAUCUCGAACAGAUAACUAUCGAAUCUAAGUUAAUCGAACUUAGUUUAUAAAUUCUGUCGUCAGAGUCGGCGCGCGCUUAUAAACGAGGUCAUUUUUAAUUUGUAAGUUUCACCUCUAGAAUAUCUCAGUUGGAAGAGGGAAAAAAGUGUCGACGUGAAACAACAAUCAUUAGUUCAACCGUCUAUAUUAUGAGAGGUUUUUUCAUUUUUCUUCUCUACAACAUUCUUUGUAAUUUACGUGUAUUUAGCACUAUGUAAAAUGAUAUAACAAUUAAAUUAUGAAACAAUUCGUAUAA